GUCGGCGUGGCGGAACGGUAGACGCGCCAGACUUAGGAUCUGGUGGGCAACCCCCGUGGAGGUUCGAAUCCUCUCGCCGACACCA
rnacentral:tRNA from 1 species